CCGUACCCACAUCCGCAGCAGGUCUCCAAGGUGAACAGCCUCUAGUCGAUGGACCAAUGUAGGUAAGGGAAGUCGGCAAAACGGAUCCGUAACCUUGGGAUAAGGAUUGGCUCUGAGGACUGAGCCGGUCGGGCUGGGGACCUGAAGCAGGAACGGCACUGCACCGGGACUGGGCGGGGCUCGCCGUUCACGCGGCGCGGCCAAGCCCGGACCAGCGUCGGGACCUUCCUGUGGAAAGCCUCAGCUGCGCGGCGUCUGAGGGCUUCGUGCCCAAAGUGCUAUGCUUCGGCCGGCAAAAAACAGUCAACUCAGAACUGGCACGGACCGGGGGAAUCCGACUGUCUAAUUAAAACAAAGCAUUGCGAUGGCCGCUGGUCGGUGUUGACGCAAUGUGAUUUCUGCCCAGUGCUCUGAAUGUCAACGUGAAGAGAUUCAUCAAAGCGCGGGUAAACGGCGGGAGUAACUAUGACUCUGCGGUUAGGGGCUCGGAAGCAUCCACCGUGGUAACGGAGGUUCGGCAACCCUCCUCUGAUGACCAUCCUGAACAGGAUGAAUGGCUAUGCCCUCAAGGCCAGGAGGAAGGGCAACCUGACUGCGAUCAUGCAUUAGUCGUAACAGGAAUGACCCUGAGGUCGAGAAGGAAGGCAGGACGAUGUUCCCUGCAAGCCAUACAGGAGGAGGAGAGUCAAUGCCCUGAAGGCCUAGUGGAAGAUCAACCUGACUGCGACCAAGGAGUCGCAACGGGUAGGACCCUAAGGCCCAAGAACCAGAUGGCCCAGAAGGGAGGUCCGCCCGACUGUGUUCCAACAGUUGCAUCAGGAAGAUUUUGAGGCCCAGAGAGAGGGGACUGAGUUCUCCUAGACUGAUCAGAAUCAAACGUGACCAUUGCAGGAGGUCCCUUG
rnacentral:ncRNA from 1 species